GGGUGAGAUCAUACCAAUGUUAAUGCACCGGAUCCCAUCAGAACUCCGCAGUUAAGAUCGCUUGGGCUAGAGUAGUGCUGGGAUGGGUGACCUCUCGGGAAGUCCUAGUGUUGCACCCU
rnacentral:rRNA from 1 species